rnacentral:rRNA from 1 species
UGUGGUUUAAUUCGAAGCAACGCGAAGAACCUUACCAGGUCUUGACAUCCCGAUGCUAUUUCUAGAGAUAGAAAGUUACUUCGGUACAUCGGUGACAGGUGGUGCAUGGUUGUCGUCAGCUCGUGUCGUGAGAUGUUGGGUUAAGUCCCGCAACGAGCGCAACCCCUAUUGUUAGUUGCCAUCAUUCAGUUGGGCACUCUAGCGAGACUGCCGGUAAUAAACCGGAGGAAGUGGGGAUGACGUCAAAUCAUCAUGCCCCUUAUGACCUGGGCUACACACGUGCUACAAUGGUUGGUACAACGAGUUGCGAGUCGGUGACGGCGAGCUAAUCUCUUAAAGCUAAUCUCAGUUCGGAUUGUAGGCUGCAACUCGCCCACAUGAAGUCGGAAUCGCUAGUAAUCGCGGAUCAGCACGCCGCGGUGAAUACGUUCCCGGGCCUU